UGGGGAAUAUUGCACAAUGGGCGCAAGCCUGAUGCAGCCAUGCCGCGUGUAUGAAGAAGGCCUUCGGGUUGUAAAGUACUUUCAGCGGGGAGGAAGGGAGUAAAGUUAAUACCUUUGCUCAUUGACGUUACCCGCAGAAGAAGCACCGGCUAACUCCGUGCCAGCAGCCGCGGUAAUACGGAGGGUGCAAGCGUUAAUCGGAAUUACUGGGCGUAAAGCGCACGCAGGCGGUUUGUUAAGUCAGAUGUGAAAUCCCCGGGCUCAACCUGGGAACUGCAUCUGAGACUGGCAAGCUUGAGUCUCGUAGAGGGGGGUAGAAUUCCAGGUGUAGCGGUGAAAUGCGUAGAGAUCUGGAGGAAUACCGGUGGCGAAGGCGGCCCCCUGGACGAAGACUGACGCUCAGGUGCGAAAGCGUGGGGAGCGAACAGG
rnacentral:rRNA from 1 species